UUCGGGAAACCGGAGCUAAUACCGGAUAAUAUAUUGAACCGCAUGGUUCAAUAGUGAAAGACGGUUUUGCUGUCACUUAUAGAUGGAUCCGCGCCGCAUUAGCUAGUUGGUAAGGUAACGGCUUACCAAGGCAACGAUGCGCAGCCGACCUGAGAGGGUGAUCGGCCACACUGGAACUGAGACACGGUCCAG
rnacentral:rRNA from 1 species